AACGAACGCUGGCGGCAUGCUUAACACAUGCAAGUCGAACGAUCUUAGCCUUUCGGGGCGACAGAGAGUGGCAGAUGGGUGAGGAACGCGUGGGAACAUACCUUGAAGUGGGGAACGACCAUGGGAAACGAUGGCUAAUACGGCAUAAUCGGGGGAGGGGAAAGGAGCAAUUCGCUUUAAGAGUGGCCCGCGUCGGAUUAGGUAGUUGGUGGGGUAAAUGCUCACCACGCCGAUGAUCUGGAGCUGAUUUAAGAGGAUGAACAGCCACACUGGGACAGAGACACGGCCCAGACUACUACGGGAGGCAGCAGGGGGAAAUAUUGGACAAUGUGGGAAACCCUGAUCCAGCAAUGCCGCGUGAAUGAUGAAGGUCUUAGGAUUGUAAAAUUCUUUCACCGGGGACGAUAAUGACGGUACCCGGAGAAGAAGCCCCGGCUAACUUCGUGCCAGCAGCCGCCGUAA
rnacentral:rRNA from 1 species